AAAGUUUAUGGCCAUAGGUGAGGGUAGGAACGUAGACCGACCGGUAAAUCGAGAGCUUUGCUUUUCGGCUCAGCUCUCUCUUCACCACAACGGACCGGCACAGCGGACCCAUUACUGUGGCCUUGAAAGCUGUGAGAAUGAAUUUUGUUGUGUCCCAGUUGGAGCUGUGGAAACGUUUUGAUCCUAAGAGGCAUUUUACUGUAGUGACUGUUGAAACAAGUUAAAACAGAACCAUGUCUGAUCUGUAUCUGAUCUCAGAUGAAGAAGGAAGCAGAAGGUGCCUGAUUCAGUUGAGUGUAGCAUCAUGGAGAGUGAUGCAGCGUAAAGCUUUUAUUUCAUUAGAAAAACCGCAGAGAACCAAGAACUGUGCCCUGGAGAACACCAAAGGUCAGACUGACAAAAGACACAAAAUUCGGUUUGACAACUAAAUAUUACAUUUUAUUCAUUAUUUACAAAGUGACCAAGCUUUGUAGGUGACUUCCCUCAAACAUCUAAUCAGAGCUGAAGUUGAACUGUUGCCACAGUUUGUUAAACUGAACUUUGGUCCAAAAAAGUUCUUUCUGAGUUGAAGGAAACCUGCUGAAAUUUAGAGGAAGAGGAGCUGAGAUGUUCAGGGAGGAGCUGAGAUGUUACUGAACUCUAGAAGAUACUCAAACUUCCUCAUUCAACACAGUUCAACACACAAACAUCUACUCUGCUCAACAUGCUGUCUUUACUCACAUCUGGAUUUAUUCUGCUGGUUCUGCUCAUUAGAACAGGUGUAAACUGUCAACAUCUCACUGCAAUGAAGACUGAGGAGUCCAGUUUAGAGGGCGGUUCUGUUACUCUGUCCUACAAUUACUCUCAAACUGCUGUUUAUAGUGAUUAUUUCUUCUGGUACCGCCAGUAUCCUGGAAAACCUCCAGAGCUACUGAUCUCUCACUCAGGAACAGGAAGCAAACUCCAGGAUCCAGUUCCUGGUUUCUCCUUUAAAGUGAGAGAUGAAAACAUCCAGAUGGACCUGCAGAUCAUCUCUGCUGCAGUGACAGAUUCUGCUGUGUACUACUGUGCUGUGAGGCCCACAGUGACAGGAAACACCAGAACUCUGUACAAGAACCUGCAAUACUCCACAUCAUCCACUAGAGGACCUCACACACUGUUAAACCACUGAUUGUUGAGUCUUUGGACUGAUGACAAAGACAACAGAGACAUGAAGCAGUAAAGAUCAGAGACAGAGCUGCUGUGGAAGCAGAAAACUCUGUGAUUGGUUGAGUUGAA